CAAGGAAGUUUGGACAGAUGUUCUCCAGGGAGAUGGGCAAUGCAGUGAACUUGUUCACUGGUGCUGCGUGAUGUUGGAUCAAGCAUUGUAAUACUGAUGUCA